CAUUACUCUUCACAUAACUAUGCAUCGUAGGAAAUUUAUUCUAAAUCUACCUAAUGUUAUUUAAAGUGCCGCAACCUGAAAAGAAGAUUCCUGAAAAGCGAAAACCACUACCACCACCUGCUCCAAAAGAAGAUAUUAAACUGGCAAAAGAUCUGCUUAAAGCUCCUGAGGCAAGGAAGAAAGCUGUUGCAAAACCUGUUGAGGCUCCGAAACUGGAACCCCCACCUGCUAAAGUGCCUGGACUUGUAAAGAAACCUCGCAAAGUAAUACCUGAGCCUACUCCUCCACCAAAAGAAGAAGUUGUUUUGAAAAGAGUUCUUAAAAAGAAACCUGAAGAGGAAGAACCUAAACCAGAAAAAGAGCCUAAACCAGAAGUUAAACCAGUACCUACACCAGUAGAAAAAAUUAAGAGAACUGAAGGUACAAGAUUACUGUCAAAUCUAUUUAUGAAAUUAUAUAUAUAUUUAUAUAUAUGUUUUAAUCCCACUAA
rnacentral:lncRNA from 12 species